AUGCAAGCCGACAACGGGACCGAGUUUCUCAACUCCAUGGUCACCAACUUCUUCUCUACCCAUGGCAUUCACCUUCGUCUCUCAUGUCCUUACACAUCCGCCCAAAACGGCAAAGCCGAACGUGCCAUCUACACCAUCAACAACGUCGUUCAUACGAUUCUUUUCCAAUCUUCAAUGCCACCCUCCUAUUGGGCCGAAGCCCUUACCACAACAAUGUAUCUCGUCAACAUCUGUCCCUCCCAAUCCAUUGGCUUUGCGGUAGCCUACAUGUGCCUCCACGACACUCCACCAAACUAUGCCGCUCUCCAUGUAUUUGGUUGCCUAUGUUAUCCCAACCAGUCCGCAACGGCCACAAAUAAACUCUCACCAUGAUCCACUGCUUGUGUCUUCUUAGGAUACCCAAGCAACCACAAAGGCUAUCUCUGCCUUGAUAUUAACACUCGUCAAGUCAUCCUAUCCAGCCAUGUGGUAUUUGACAAGACCAUAUUUCCCUUCUCUUACUCCCAAGAGCGUCCAGCUGAUUGA
rnacentral:rRNA from 1 species